AUUGAACGCUGGCGGCAGGCCUAACACAUGCAAGUCGAGCGGAUGAAGGGAGCUUGCUCCUGGAUCCAGCGGCGGACGGGUGAGUAAUGCCUAGGAAUCUGCCUGGUAGUGGGGGAUAACGUCCGGAAACGGGCGCUAAUACCGCAUACGUCCUGAGGGAGAAAGUGGGGGAUCUUCGGACCUCACGCUAUCAGAUGAGCCUAGGUCGGAUUAGCUAGUUGGUGGGGUAAAGGCCUACCAAGGCGACGAUCCGUAACUGGUCUGAGAGGAUGAUCAGUCACACUGGAACUGAGACACGGUCCAGACUCCUACGGGAGGCAGCAGUGGGGAAUAUUGGACAAUGGGCGAAAGCCUGAUCCAGCCAUGCCGCGUGUGUGAAGAAGGUCUUCGGAUUGUAAAGCACUUUAAGUUGGGAGGAAGGGCAGUAAGUUAAUACCUUGCUGUUUUGACGUUACCAACAGAAUAAGCACCGGCUAACUUCGU
rnacentral:rRNA from 1 species